GAAGAUGCGAGCGUUAUCCGGAUUUAUUGGGUUUAAAGGGUGCGUAGGCGGCCUUUUAAGUCAGCGGUGAAAGUCUGUGGCUCAACCAUAGAAUUGCCGUUGAAACUGGGAGGCUUGAGUAUGUUUGAGGCAGGCGGAAUGCGUGGUGUAGCGGUGAAAUGCUUAGAUAUCACGCAGAACCCCGAUUGCGAAGGCAGCCUGCCAAGCCAUGACUGACGCUGAUGCACGAAAGCGUGGGGAUCAAA
rnacentral:rRNA from 1 species